rnacentral:lncRNA from 1 species
AAUUAUAUGAAAACUCAUAACUUCUUUCAUCCAAUCCAUACGUGGUUUCAUAGCCAUAUGCAAUUUGACUUUCAUUAUCAUCUCCAUACAUAAUUCCACUACCUCUCACAUCAUAAUAUUAUGAAUUCAUAUAAUUUCUAUAUUUAUAACCUUAAGUAGAUCCAUAAUCUAUCUCUUUUGAAGGUUCAACCUUAAACUCUUCA